UUCCACUGUUCUUUUCUUCUUCUUUUUUUGAUUUGUUUGAUUUAUUUGUUUGUCUUGGAGUUUGUUUUAGUGUCUUUUUUUAAUCGUUUUGUUUAUCAUGCUAUUUUGGUUUUUUUCAUGCCCUUGCUUCCAGAAAUUUCUUCUGGAAUUUUUUCAGCUUGAUUUCUUUGUGUUAUGUUUUGCAAGUCUCUUCUCUCGGUUUCUUGCUUCUCCUUUUCGUGUUGACAAGUAGAGCAAUUGACGAAAGCUGUGAACAAUGAUUUCACCAUGGAUGCUGAUAUUGAGGUGAUUAUUUCAUGCCCUAAUUUUCCUGUGUUAUGAACGAAUCAUGCUUUUUUCCGUCGCAGGUGCAAUGAUUGGUAGGAGAGGAUUGUUGGAGAGCUAUUCAGCUUGACCACAGUUCUGUUAAGGUAAUCUCCUUCAAUUUUUAUUUUGUUUUGCUGAUUUUUUUUAUUAAGAAUAAUGCGUAAUUAACUUGAAAACCCAUGUACCCAUGGAUGGCGUGAAUGAGUUUGGCUUUUCUUUGGGUUUUAACUAAAUGCUUUCUUUGUUGCUCAUGCUUUAUUUUGGUUGGCUUUUCUUUCUUUGUAGCUUAUGGUUUUUUUUUUUUUUGCCUUUUUUUUGGUCUUAUUUUCUUAUUUAUUUGGGUUGUUGAGUUUUUUGUUGAUAGCUCACGGUUUUUUCAUUUAUUUAUUUAUUUUUUGCAUGUCCAUGAUUGUAUCAACUGAGGUUGAAAUUUUUAAUUUCUUAUUUAGGGUUUGUUUGUGGAAUGCAUGGGACAAAUUAUAUGAAUAAAUAAUGAGUUUUUGUGCAUAAAGAUGAAUGGAUAAUAAUUUAAUUAAAUAUUUUAUUCCUAAUACUUUGGUUGUCUGCUACAACAACGAGGACGCUCCUCUGCCUGCCUUCAACGAGGACCAGCAGUAAUAUCUCUUGUCUCUCUCUCUUCCUCUGUACAUAUGUUGGGUAUGCAUGCAGUUGUGUAUUUGAAGCACCUGUCAAUGUGUAUUUCAUCGUUUUGAUCUUAUUGCAAAGUUUGCUUUUUCUUUCCUUUUUUCAUA